rnacentral:rRNA from 1 species
UGGGGAAUUUUGGACAAUGGGCGAAAGCCUGAUCCAGCAAUGCCGCGUGUGUGAAGAAGGCCUUCGGGUUGUAAAGCACUUUUGUCCGGAAAGAAAUCCUUGGCUCUAAUACAGUCGGGGGAUGACGGUACCGGAAGAAUAAGCACCGGCUAACUACGUGCCAGCAGCCGCGGUAAUACGUAGGGUGCAAGCGUUAAUCGGAAUUACUGGGCGUAAAGCGUGCGCAGGCGGUUUGCUAAGACCGAUGUGAAAUCCCCGGGCUCAACCUGGGAACUGCAUUGGUGACUGGCAGGCUAGAGUAUGGCAGGAGGGGGGUAGAAUUCCACGUNUGAGCAGUGAAAUGCGUAGAGAUGUGGAGGAAUACCGAUGGCGAAGGCAGCCCCCUGGGCAAAUACUGACGCUCAUGCAACGAAAAGCGUGGGGAGCAAACAGGAUUNGAUACCCUGGUAGUCACGCCCUAAACGAUGUCAACUAGUUGUUGGGGAUCAUUUCCUUAGUAACGUAGCUAACGCGUGAAGUUGACCGCCUGGGGAGUACGUCGCAAGAUUAAAACUUAAAGGAAUUGACGGGGUCAU